GGCGCGAUGGUGGGGCAUUUCGCCGCCGCGGAGAUCACCACGCCGUCGGCCGCCCAGCGGACGGCGCGGGCCCUGCGCCGCCUCGGGGCCGGGCCGC
rnacentral:tRNA from 1 species